rnacentral:rRNA from 1 species
GAGUAACGCGUGAGCAACCUGCCUAUGACAGUGGGAUAGCCUCGGGAAACCGGGAUUAAUACCGCAUAAAAUCGUAGAAACACAUGUUUCAACGGUCAAAGAUUUAUCGGUCAUAGAUGGGCUCGCGUCUGAUUAGCGAGUUGGUGAGAUAACAGCCCACCAAGGCGACGAUCAGUAGCCGGUCUGAGAGGAUGAACGGCCACAUUGGAACUGAGACACGGUCCAA